CUCAGCUCUCUUGUUCGCUAAGUUCCACUCGCUCUCCCCCCGCUUUCUCCCCCCACUCGCCACCAUGAAGAUCUUCAAGGAUGUGCUGACCGGCUCCGAGGUUGUCUGCGACAAUGACUGCCCGUUCGACGUGGAGGGCGACAUCAUGUAUGUGGUGAACGGCCGCUACAUCGACGUUGGUGGCGAGGACUACGGUAUUUCUGCCAACGUGGACGAGGACGCUGCGGAGGGCGCGACGGGCGAAGUUGCGGAGGGAAAGGAGCGCGUGGUGGAUGUGGUGUACAACAACCGGUACACGGAGACAUCGUACGACAAGGCGUCGUACAUGGCGCACAUCCGCAGCUACAUGAAGCAGCUGCUGGAGAAGAUCGAGAACGAGGAGGAGAGGAAGGUGUUCCAGACGAACGCUGCAGCGUUCGUGAAGAAGGUGCUUAAGGACAUCGACGAGUACCAGUUCUUCAUCCCGGAGGGCAACGACGAGGACCCGGACAACGGCAUGAUCGUGCUGUGCCGCUGGGACGGUGAGACGCCGAGGUUCUACUUCUGGAAGGAUGGCCUGAAGGGCGAGCGCGUCUAGACGCGUCGCUGACGAUGGCUCUGCCGCGUGUGUGAACGCACUCGUCUGCACCCACACCCCGCAACACGAACCCUUCCCUUGCUCUCCCCCGGGAGAGCCGGGUGCACGCGCGCGCUUCUCCCCCCCUCUGUGCAUGGGUGCGCUUGCUUCAUGGGCUGUGCGACGUCGGAGGUGCUGCGCGCGCCCACGCGGGUGAUCACGUCGCCCCCCUCUCCCUCUCUCUCCGAGUUGUGAGGCCCUAUCUCGCUGUCUCCGCACGUCUAUCAUUUUCCUCCUACUCAGCUAACAUAACUUUAAAAGGAGUGAGGAGGGAUGAUGCACGCACACGUGGAUAUCUUGUGUCUCUAAUGGACUCUGUUACGCCUUCUGCACCUUCGUUGUUGGGUAAAGUGCGAGGACGGCACGGGAGACAGACAGGGGUGCGUGUUUUUCUGUGCGUGUACCAUGGAGAUAGCCGAAGUCGUGGGUCAUGGCACACACGCACGCAGAAGUUUGAGUGAUGGUGCGUGUGCAGUGUGUAUGUGUGCCAUCACCACCCCCUCCCCCUGCCCCGCUCGCUCGCUCCUCCACAGGCUUUUUAUAUUUCGUUUCCUUAGAAGUGCCUCUAGUGUGCAUGUGUGCAGGCACAUAUCUGUGUGUGCACGCGUGUUUGCGUGACUGUGCGCGUGUACGGACUCCUGUGGCAAUACGAGCCCUCUUCCCCUACCUCCUUCCAUCCCCCUCCCUUCCCCCUCCACACACACACACACACACACACACACACACACACACACACACAGCAUCACCACGAAGAGGGUCGAGCCGGAGUCCGCAGACAGG
rnacentral:misc_RNA from 1 species